CAGCAGGCGCGCAAAUUACCCAAUCCCAAUANGGGNNNNNAGUGACAAUAAAUAACAAUAUGGGGCUCUUACGGGUCUCGUAAUUGGAAUGAGUACAAUUUAAAUCUCUUAACGAGGAACAAUUGGAGGGCAAGUCUGGUGCCAGCAGCCGCGGUAAUUCCAGCUCCAAUAGCGUAUAUUAAAGUUGUUGCAGUUAAAAAGCUCGUAGUUGAAUUUCGGAGUUUGUCGGUUGGUCGGGCUUCACUGUCCGCACUGGCCUGAUGGAUUCCUACCUUCUGAAUAACCAGCAUGCUAUUAAGUUAGUGCGUUGGGGAAGCAGAGCUAUUACCUUGAAAAAAUUAGAGUGCUUAAAGCAGGCUUAUGCUUGAAUAGAUUAGCAUGGAAUAAUAAAAUAGGACGGCAUGGUUCUAUUUUGUUGGUUUCUAGGAUCACCGUAAUGAUUAAUAGGGAUAGUUGGGGGCAUUAGUAUUCAAUUGUCAGAGGUGAAAUUCUUGGAUUUAUUGAAGACUAACUUCUGCGAAAGCAUUUGCCAAGGAUGUUUUCAUUAAUCAAGAACGAAAGUUAGGGGAUCGAAGACGAUCAGAUACCGUCGUAGUCUUAACCAUAAACUAUGCCGACUAGGGAUCGGACGAUGUUAAUUUUU
rnacentral:rRNA from 1 species